GGUUCAGUGGUGGAGUUGUUCACACCUGCAUUCAUUGCAGUGUUUUCAUUAACAUCCUUGCAGGAGAUGCCUGUUCAAUUCAGGCCUGGACCA